rnacentral:rRNA from 1 species
UACAGAGGAUGCAAGCGUUAUUCGGAAUGAUUGGGCGUAAAGCGUCUGUAGGUGGCUUUUUAAGUCCGCCGUCAAAUCCCAGGGCUCAACUCUGGACAGGCGGUGGAAACUACCAAGCUGGAGUACGGUAGGGGCAGAGGGAAUUUCCGGUGGAGCGGUGAAAUGCGCAGAUAUCCGGAGGAACACCGGUGGCGAAGGCGGCUUCCUGGACCGACACUGACGCUGAGGCGCGAAAGCUAGGGGAGCAAACGGG